UCGUUCAGGACUCGUUUGUCCGAUGGUGGCCGUCUUGUGCAGUGAAGAAGCUGAGAGAGUGACUCGCAAAAACAACCUAAAUUUUGCGGAGCUGCUGAGGCCUUUCUGCAGACUUACGUCUGAAGGUCACAUCCGAGAUCCCAACAAUCAACUGCAGGUUGUGAAAACCUGCGUAUCUGUGUCAACAAUUUAAUGACAAGUCCAACAACAACAUCUACAUCUCCGAGCCCUGCUCAGCGUCAGCUACUCAGUGAUGUGGUGUUAUCCUGCCAGCCCCAAGAAAGUGCUGUGACUAAUGUGGUUAUGGCAGGAGAUUAUGAGCUCAAUUUCAGUGAUGACUGUGUUAAAGCUAGCA